rnacentral:tRNA from 1 species
GGCGCGGUGGCGGAGAGGCUACGCAGCGGCCUGCAAAGCCGUGUACACCGGUUCGAAUCCGGUCCGCGCCUCCA